GGUUGAUAAAAAAUUUGUUACGAAAAAAAAAAUUUGGCGGGAAAAAUGUUUGGCGGAAAAUAUUUUUUUGACGGCAAAAAUUUGGCGGGAAAACUUGAGUUUCCAAUUACAUGUUCCUAUUAGAUUAGGGUAAUACUAGUUAGCUUUUCAUACUUU
rnacentral:sRNA from 1 species